rnacentral:rRNA from 1 species
UACGGAGGAUCCGAGCGUUAUCCGGAUUUAUUGGGUUUAAAGGGUGCGUAGGCGGAUUGAUAAGUUAGAGGUGAAAUGUCCGAGCUCAACUCGGGAACUGCCUCUAAUACUGUUGAUCUAGAGAGUAGAUGCGGUAGGCGGAAUGUAUGGUGUAGCGGUGAAAUGCUUAGAGAUCAUACAGAACACCGAUUGCGAAGGCAGCUUACCAAUCUAUAUCUGACGUUGAGGCACGAAAGCGUGGGGAGCAAACAGG